GUCCCAGGCCACAGUGGCCUAGUUUCAGAUGCUCCCCCUGCCCCAUCUCAAGGCUCAGAAAACCAUUUUCUGGUAAAUAACCAGAAAACCCAUGUUGGGAUUAUAACAUCUACCAUGACUGAGGGCAGCCACCCAGUCAGCCAACCUACCAUGACCAAUACAGCAAUGUUGCCCAUCCCUUAGGACUCAGAGGACUUUCUUCAGGAGCUUAGAAAAAUGUACCACCAAGGAGAACAUGGGGGAGGAAGAGGAAAGCAACUGCAUGGAAAAACUGUCCAGAACUACUGCAGGACAAUGUUCUAUAGGGGAUACAAAUAUUCCCAAGUGGUGAUUACCAGUACUUACCAGAACUCAAGAGCACCUCUGUGGCAUUACCCUCCACAUUUCCUCCCAGAACAAAAAUGAAACUGCCCAUCAUUGAGAAUUCUUGAUCAAUAAAAUCUGAUCACUGCAA